rfam:Clostridium kluyveri DSM 555, complete genome.
UUACUGGUGAAAGUCCAGUCUAGGUAAUUACCAAGAAGCCUAGUAGCCAAUCACCAUGUGCAGUAGAAAUACUGGGCAUGAAGCGUGAAGGUAAUAUAUCCCGAAAGGGAGAUAGCGAAAAUGCAGGUUGUAAUAUAA